CUGCAGUCUUACUGCUCAAUUCCCUGCCAUUUAGGAGUUAAAUCAAUUUGUUUAUGAACCCCAAUCACAUCUCCCUGCAUGUGACUUGCACAGCCUCCCUAAACACUUCCUUUAAAGAGUCAUCUACAAUGUAUCCUUCCUUUAUUGCAAGUUCUGUUACAUUUAGAAUUCCUUAUCCCCUGCUAUGUUAAUAGCUUGCUAGACCCUGCAACAGACUAUAAUGUGAU